AAGUCGUAACAAGGUUUCCGUAGGUGAACCUGCGGAAGGAUCAUUAAUACGCUUUUGUUUGUAACAAAACAAAACGUUUUAAACUCCAAAAGAAAUAGUGGAAAUAUAACUUCCGGAUGCGAAUGUUGGGAACUGAGUAAAAUCGGUUCUUUUGAAAAAGGGACUUCAAGCAAUUGACACUUCAGAGUAGAGCAGUGAGGUGAAAUUCUCUUUUCGAAGAGAGUUUGGUUCUGAAAAACAUUUGUAUCCGGUUAUCAUAACCUGUUCUACAAAUUCUAUCAAACAAUAAACCCCAUGUAUAACAACUUGAACUAAACAUUUUUUUGUUAUCCUUCUUGCACUUGUGUGAGAAGAUACUACGAAGAAAAAACCUGAACUUAAGAACAACUCUUAACAACGGAUAUCUUGGUUCUC
rnacentral:misc_RNA from 1 species